rnacentral:rRNA from 1 species
AUUGAACGCUGGCGGCACGCCUAACACAUGCAAGUCGAGCGGUAACAUGAGUUGUAGCAAUACAACUUGAUGACGAGCGGCGGACGGGUGAGGAACACGUAGGGACCUGCCCAAGAGAGGGGGAUAACUAAGGGAAACUUUAGCUAAUACCGCAUAAUCUCUGAGGAGAAAAGUUGCCCGCAAGGGUGACGCUUUUGGAGGGGCCUGCGUCCGAUUAGUUAGUUGGUGAGGUAAUGGCUCACCAAGACGAUGAUCGGUAACUGGUCUGAGAGGACGAACCAUCCCACUGGGACUGAGACACGGCCCAAGCUCCUACGGGAGGCAGCAGUGGGGAAUCUUGGACAAUGGGGGCAACCCUGAUCCAGCGAUGCCGCGUGGGUGAAGAAGGCCCUCGGGUUGUAAAGCCCUUUAGGCUGGGAAGAAGGAUGUAGAGCGAAUACCUCUAUAUUUUGACUGUACCAGCAGAAUAAGCACCGGCAAACUCUGUGCCAGCCGCCGCGGUAA